rnacentral:rRNA from 1 species
AACGAACGCUGGCGGCAGGCCUAACACAUGCAAGUCGAGCGGACCCUUCGGGGUUAGCGGCGGACGGGUGAGUAACGCGUGGGAAUAUGCCCUUCUCUACGGAAUAGUCCUGGGAAACUGGGGGUAAUACCGUAUACGCCCUUUGGGGGAAAGAUUUAUCGGGGAAGGAUUAGCCCGCGUUGGAUUAGGUAGUUGGUGGGUAAUGGCCUACCAAGCCGACGAUCCAUAGCUGGUUUGAGAGGAUGAUCAGCCACACUGGGACUGAGACACGGCCCAGACUCCUGCGGGAGGCAGCAAUGGGGGAUCUUAGACAAUGGGGGCAACCCUGAUCUAGCCAGGCCGCGUGAGUGAUGAAGGCCUUAGGGUUGUAAAGCUCUUUCAGCUGGGAAGAUAAUGACGGUACCAGCAGAAGAAGCCCCGGCUAACUCCGUG